rnacentral:misc_RNA from 1 species
CCAGAGAAGACAACCUCUUCUCCAGAUUUUGCAAUUGCUCUACUAGUGCAGUUACCAGCGGUACCACCAUCAUUUUGGUAAGGAUCAGAAGCACGACCAUUGCGAGCAUUAAACUUCCAUGAAUACAAGUCAAGGACGCUACCCUCUGAAUCAAUUGUGCCAAUUGCUUCAUUAGGCUUACCACUCCACUCUCCAACCAAAGCAGAAUUUCUCCAUUUGCUUUCAGACCCAUUUCUGCCUGUUCCACACUCUAUCUCUUUAAUAAUAAGUUCAUUAGAAACUUCAAAGCUAUUUUGAGAACCAAGCACCUGAUUAUCAGUUCCUGGUUUGCUCCCAUUCUCUUCUUCCAACACCUUUCCCAAUUCCUUGUCUUCAAAAGAAAGCUUUUUAAGGAAUCCAUUCAAAUCAGGGUGGUUAUUAAGCUCACUGCGCAAUGCUGCCUCAGCUCUGGUGAAGCGAUUUCUCCGCAGAAAGCCCAAAAUCACAUCAACUGAACUUGU